ACAGCUCCGAGCAGUGGAUCACUCGGCUCGCGGGUCGAUGAAGAACGCAGCCAGCUGCGAGAUUUGGUGUGAAUUGCAGAACACUCAGAUCACUGAUUAUUCGAACGCACAUUGCGGCUCCCGCUCCUCUGCGGGAGCCUCGCCUGUCUGAGGGUCGCGUGAUGCAUGCAGAGGUUCUUUCCUCGGAAGGUGACCAAACGGCCCCUUCGGAUUCGUCCGUGGGCUCAGAGAACGAUCUCUCCCGGGGAUCGACCGCAAACGUACCCCCGGGAGUAAGACAGAUAAAGGGAUAACUAUGAAAACGAGAAGCGACCUCAGAUCAGACGAGAGAACCCGCCGAACUUAAGCAUAUCAGUAAGCGGAGGAAAAGAAAACAACAGUGAUUCCCCAGUAGCGGCGAGCGAAAAGGGAAGAGCCCAGCGCCGAAUCCCUGCGUCGAGAGGCGCAAUUUGGGAAAUGUGGCGUAAGGAGUGCGCGCAGGUCCGCCGCAGGGUUCGAGGUAAGUCCCCCUGACAGGGGCUUUUCCCGUGGCGGGUGCCAGGCCCGUGUCCUCGAACCCCUCGGCGGUGCCGGCGCCUCCGGAGAGUCGGGUUGCUCGGGAGUGCAGCCCCAAGGCGGGAGGUAGACUCCUCCCAAGGCUAAAUACGACCGCGAGACCGAUAGCAAACAAGUACCGUGAGGGAAAGUUGCAAAGAACUUUGAAGAGAGAGUUCAAGAGACGUGAAACUGCUCGGAGGGAAACGGGUGGGCCCUCGAAGUCCCGACCUUCCGCGGAGACUCAGUCGCUGUCGAGCGACGCACUUCUCCGCGGGAUUCUAGGGAAGUCGCGGCCGGUCGCCUUCUUCUCUCCGCCUCCGGGUGAGUCCGCCGCGCACCUUAUGGAGCGUCGGCGUCCCCCGGGGGCCCGAUGCAGAGAGGGCGACCCGGUGCCCGCACGGGCCAGCUCCUCCCGCCGUCCGCCUCUUCCGGGCACCUGAAGCCCGUCCGUCGCCGACGCGCCUCGUCCCUCGUGGAGGGCGGUCCUUCGGGCGACUCCUCGAAGUCGGAAAUGUACUCUUGCGGGCGGAGGGAGUUGCGGUUCCGCGACGAGUAGGUCGGUCACCCACCCGACCCGUCUUGAAACACGGACCAAGGAGUCUUGCUCUCGUGCGAGUCUAAAGGUACUCUACGAAGCCCAGAGGCGCAGCGAAAGCGUAGAUCGCGAUCCCUCCUCUGACUCGAGGGGGGCGCAGCGACCGCCCGUGCCUUGAAGUGGGAACGGAGCGAGAGCACGAGGGCAGGGACCCGAUAGGUGGUGAACUAUUCUCGGGCAGGACGAAGGCCGAGGAAACUCGGCUGGAGGUCCGAAGCGGUUCUGACGUGCAAAUCGAUCGUCCGACCCGAGUAUAGGGGCGAAAGACCAAUCGAACCACCUGGUAGCUGGUUCCCUCCGAAGUUUCCCUCAGGAUAGCCGUCGCUCGUCGGCAGCAGUCUCGCCGGGUAGAGAGAAUGAUUAGAGCGCCUCGGGGACGCCCGUGUCACUCGACCUCUUCUCAAACUACGAACGGACGAGAAGGGAGCCUCUCCCGAUUCGGAGGCCUCCCGAGUAAGGAUGCAGAGUGGCGCGUGGGCCACUUUUGGUAAGCAGAACUGGCGCUGCGGGAUGAACCGAACGCCGGGUUAAGGCGCCCGAUGCGGGACGCUCAGAGACCCCAUAAAAGGUGUCGGUUGCUCUAUACAGCAGGACGGUGGCCACGGAAGUCGGCAUCCGCUAAGGAGUGUGUAACAACUCACCUGCCUAAGCAACCGGUCCUGAAAAUGGAUGGCGCUCCAGCGUCGAGCCCAUACCCGGCCCUUUCUCUAACGUCGAUAUUACGGAGAAAGGAGUAGGAGGGUCGCGGCGGAGCGCGUAGAAGGUCAGGGCGCGAACCCGACUGGAGCCUCCGCCGGUGCAGAUCUUGGUGGUAGUAGCAAAUAUUCGAGUGAGAACCUCGAAGACUGAAGCACGGAGAAGGGUUCCAUGUGAACAGCAGUUGAACAUGGGUGAGUCGGUCCUGAUUCACUUCCUAAUGGAAUUAUUAAAAGCUUCUAUUAUUAUUCGAGACGAGAAGCGUUGGAGAAUGGGAAAAGGGUUAAUAUUCCCUUACCCGGACACGGAGAUAGGGGCACCCGUGUCCCAAGUGCGGUAACGCAAACGAACUCGGCGACGCCGUCGGAGGACCCGGAGAAGAGUUGACUUUUCUUCGUAAGAGCUCGUGUCCCUGGAAUCUCGUCACGAGGAGAUAGGGACGCUGUUCUCGUAAGAGCACGGUCGCUGCUGCCGUGUCCGGUGCGCCUCCGCCGGCCCUUGAAAAACCGAGGGAGAGAGUGUGAUUUUCGUGCCGGUCCGUACCCAUAUCCGCAGCAGGUCUCCAAGGUGAACAGCCUCUAGUCUCUAGAACAAUGUAGGUAAGGGAAGUCGGCAAGUUCGAUCCCUAACUUCGGGAAAAGGAUUGGCUCUUGUGUUUCCGUCC
rnacentral:rRNA from 1 species